rnacentral:rRNA from 1 species
AUUGAACGCUGGCGACAUGCCUUACACAUGCAAGUCGAACGGCAGCACGGGAGCAAUCCUGGUGGCGAGUGGCGAACGGGUGAGUAAUACAUCGGAACGUGCCCAGUCGUGGGGGAUAACUACUCGAAAGAGUGGCUAAUACCGCAUACGACCUGAGGGUGAAAGCGGGGGAUCGCAAGACCUCGCGCGAUUGGAGCGGCCGAUGUCAGCUUAGCUAGGUGGGGGGGUAAAGGCCUACCAAGGCUAAGAUCUGUAGUUGGUCUGAGAGGACGACCAGCCACACUAGGGCGGAGACACGGCCCAGACUGCUAAGGGGGUAAGCAGUGGGGAAUUUUGGAGAAUGGGCGCAAGCCUGAUCCAGCAAUGCGGCGUGAAGGAAGAAGGACUUAGGGUUGUAAACCGCUUUUGUCAGGGAAGAAAAGACUCCUGUUAAUACCGGGGGUUAAUGACGGUACCUGAAGAAUAGGCACCGGCUAACUACGUGCCAGCAGCCGCCGUAAUAC